rnacentral:rRNA from 1 species
GAUGAACGCUGGCGGCGUGCUUAACACAUGCAAGUCGAACGAGGAAUGGAGACGGAAACCUUCGGGCGGAAGGCUUCAUUUCGAGUGGCGGACGGGUGAGUAACGCGUGGGUAACCUGCCUCAUACAGGGGGAUAACAGUUGGAAACGACUGUUAAUACCGCAUAAGACCACAGCACCGCAUGGUGCGGGGGUAAAAACUCCGGUGGUAUGAGAUGGACCCGCGUUCGAUUAGCCAGUUGGCGGGGUAACGGCCCACCAAAGCGACGAUCGAUAGCCGAUCUGAGAGGAUGACCGGCCACAUUGGGACUGAGACACGGCCCAAACUCCUACGGGAGGCAGCAGUGGGGAAUAUUGCACAAUGGGGGAAACCCUGAUGCAGCGACGCCGCGUGAGUGAAGAAGUACUUCGGUAUGUAAAGCUCUAUCAGCAGGGAAGAAAAUGACGGUACCUGAGGAAGAAGCCCCGGCUAACUACGUG